AUAAACGCUGGCGGCGCACAUAAGACAUGCAAGUUGAACGGACUUAAUCGAAAUAUUUAUAUUUUGAAGCGGUUAGUGGCGGACUGGUGAGUAACGCGUAAGGAACCUGCCUAUUAGAGGGGAAUAACAGUGAGAAAUCAUUGCUAAUACCGCAUAUGCCAUAGAUAUCACAUGAUAACAGUGGGAAAGGAGCAAUCCGCUAAUAGAUGGCCUUGCGUCUGAUUAGAUAGUUGGUGGGGUAACGGCCUACCAAGUCGACGAUCAGUAGCCGGACUGAGAGGUUGAACGGCCACAUUGGGACUGAGAUACGGCCCAGACUCCUACGGGAGGCAGCAGUCGGGAAUAUUGCGCAAUGGAGGAAAUUCUGACGCAGUGACGCCGCGUAUAGGAAGAAGGUUGUAGGAUUGUAAACUAUUGUCGUUAGGGAAGAGAAAGGACAGUACCUAAGGAGGAAGCUCCGGCUAACUACGUG
rnacentral:rRNA from 1 species